CAGAGAGCUAUCUAGUGGGCUUGCUUUUCCCAUCUGUGCUGGGAAACCAGGCUGGCAUUUGCAGCUCACCCAAAUGUAAAAAUGGGAAUGUAGGAUGCUGAUGAUCUGCUUUUGUCCCCCUGCAGUGUAAAUCAGUGCAAGCCGUUUCAUUUUUCUGAGGUGCCCUAGAACAGGAAGAGAAAGCUGAGGAUGGAAAUUAUGCUGCUGCUCUGAGGGUUUCAGACCAAACCUGUGUGAGCUGCUGGGCUUGCUGCUGGCCACGUAGAUGGUAAGAGAAGGUCUUCCCUGCUGUUCUUCAGGCAAAGAUGAGCAAAUAUCAUAUCUCUACAUUUCAAAGAGGUUGGGAUUAACAAAGUUCCCUAAUGCCAUGUGGCAAAUCAGUGCUGUCUGUCUCCUGGAUGCCAGGUGGACACAUGGAUGACCUAAUCUGUGAUCAGCCUUGCUAGCUAUCCAGGACUGGUCCUGCAGCCAUCGCACGAUGAAGGCACCUGCUUGUAGAGUGAAUUCAUCUUUGGAUCAUUAGCUAAGAUGAACCCUGACGCUGUAGGCGAUCAUCACUGGGGUUUUGAUGUGCGUGGCCAUGGAUCCUCUGCCAGCUGCUUUCUUUGAAGCAUGUUUUGGGGACCUGCCCUCUCUCCUAACCCAUGGGAGGAUGACCCAGCUGCCCUCUGAUAGAGGAACCAGGAUUUUAUGGGAUGCCCUUUCCUAUUGUGCCAUAUUGUAUAUCCACAUGGUAACAGGGAAGACUGGUGUCUGGCUGUGGAGGAGCUGGGCAGGAUGCCUGGUGCCCUAGAAAAUGGGCAGAGACAGUACCCUGGCCCCUCAGCAAGCUGGCUAUGCUCCACAGGAGGUCUGAGGCUGGUCCUGCACCUGCUGAAGGUGGUUGGAGUCUGGGAUCCAGUCUGCCCCUGGGAUGGGCACGGGCAGCAGGAGGCUGCUGAGCUGGGGAACAGGAAGGGAGCUGGUGGGGACAGGUGAAGGUGAGGAGGGGGGGCAGGGUGCAGAUGGAGAUAGCCAGGCACUCACAAGUGAUGCUGACUUCUACUAAGGGACAGCCUCACCUCUAAGGAAAACCUUAUUUUCCACGGCAGGAGAAGACUUG